rnacentral:misc_RNA from 1 species
GAUGAAGAACGCAGUGAAAUGCGAUAAGUAAUGUGAAUUGCAGAAUUCAGUGAAUCAUCGAAUCUUUGAACGCACCUUGCGCCCUUUGGCUAUUCCGAAGGGCAUGCCUGUUUGAGUAUCGUGAACACCUCAACUCUCAUGGUUUGCCAUGAUGAGCUUGGACUUUGGGGGUUUUGCUGGCCUUUGGUCGGCUCCUCUCAAACGGAUCAGCUUUCCAGUGUUUGGUGGCGACUCACGGGUGUGAUAACUAUCUACGCCUGUGGUUUUCUGCCAGAUAACUUUCAGCGAUGGAGGUUCGCUGGGGCUCAUAAAUGUCUCUCUUCAGUGGAGACAGCUUUUUGGACGUUUGAUCUCAAAUCAGGUAGGACUACCCGCUGAACUUAAGCAUAUCAAUAAGCGGAGGA